rnacentral:rRNA from 1 species
GUGGGGAAUAUUGGACAAUGGGCGAAAGCCUGAUCCAGCCAUGCCGCGUGUGUGAAGAAGGUCUUCGGAUUGUAAAGCACUUUAAGUUGGGAGGAAGGGCAGUAAGUUAAUACCUUGCUGUUUUGACGUUACCGACAGAAUAAGCACCGGCUAACUUCGUGCCAGCAGCCGCGGUACUACGAAGGGUGCAAGCGUUAAUCGGCAUUACUGGGCGUAAAGCGCGCGUAGGUGGUUCAGCAAGUUGGAGGUGAAAUCCCCGGGCUCAACCUGGGAACUGCCUCCAAAACUGCAUGACUAGAGUACGGUAGAGGGUAGUGGAAUUUCCUGUGUAGCGGUGAAAUGCGUAGAUAUAGGAAGGAACACCAGUGGCGAAGGCGACUACCUGGACUGAUACUGACACUGAGGUGCGAAAGCGUGGGGAGCAAACAGGAUUAGAUACCCUUGUAGUCC